AUGACAUCUGACAGGUUUCACUUGUUGUUUUUAUUGAUUUAAAUUACCCACCUUCUGGGCAGUUAAUCAUUUUAAACUUUCUAAAAUUUGGGUUAUAUAGGUCUUUUAAGAAAAUGAAAUUAUAAAGUGUGUGGUUUUUUUAAUAACGAGGUAACGUGUUAUUCCAGGAAAAGAGACCUGUGCACUAUGCUUAAGCAAAGACAAUAGAAUACCCUUAAAUGAAUAUUCCAAAUUCAAGACUUAUUUUGUAAUGUGUGUAAGAGUUAAUUGUAAAAUGAAUACCAUAUCCAUAAUGUUUUUGUCUAUUUAACCUGCACAUCUACUCAACAGAGCCAGAGUUCGAGCUGUGUCUUUCACUCAUGUUCAGGUUUACUGCCCCAGUUUUGUGCCAGGUCACUGUCAGUUGUUAGCUGACUUUCUUUGGAUUCGCCCCAGGUCACUGUCAGUUGCUGGCUGAUUUCCCUUGGUUUCGCCCCAGGUAUUGUGCCGUCCAGGCCACUGUUGGGUCAACCCAACAUGCUGAGGUUCUUGGAUGCUUCAUUGAGAUGAUCGACAUCACUGGGAUGCAUAAAAUGUACAUUAUGUACAUUAAAUAUAUUUAUGAUCAAGCAAAUCUGCAUUCACCUCAUGAGGUUUCUGUUAUUCUGCUUUUGAUGUUCAUUCAAUGAUUCAACUCUCAAAAAGACAUUGACUGUACUCCACCCUGUGGUGUAAUGAUGUAAUGAUGUAAUGAUCAGGAGGUCAAUGUGUUACAUUUAUAUUGUGCUUUUCUGGCUACUCAGAGUGCAUUGUAUUUACAUGGAAGGGGGGAAUCUCCCCAACCAUGACUCGUUUAUGACUCAUUGAACGAAUCUGAACAAAAGUGAACAUAAGAAAAAGAUUCAAGUAAAAUGAUUCAUAAUCAACACCACUAAUAUAGAUUUUAUAGAUGUGAACCCAAAAAAAAAAACAAACCUUUGUGUGUGUAAGCACAUUGGCCAAUAAAGCUCUUUUUGACUGAAUAAUUUUUGUGAAA
ensembl:lncRNA